AUUGAACGCUGGCGGCAGGCCUAACACAUGCAAGUCGAGCGGAUGAAGGGAGCUUGCUCCGGGAUUCAGCGGCGGACGGGUGAGUAAUGCCUAGGAAUCUGCCUGGUAGUGGGGGAUAACGUCCGGAAACGGGCGCUAAUACCGCAUACGUCCUGAGGGAGAAAGUGGGGGAGCUUCGGACCUCACGCUAUCAGAUGAGCCUAGGUCGGAUUAGCUAGUUGGUGGGUUAAAGGCCUACCAAGGCGACGAUCCGUAACUGGUCUGAGAGGAUGAUCAGUCACACUGGAACUGAGACACGGUCCAGACUCCUACGGGAGGCAGCAGUGUGGAAUAUUGGACAAUGGGCGAAAGCCUGAUCCAGCCAUGCCGCGUGUGUGAAGAAGGUCUUCGGAUUGUAAAGCACUUUAAGUUGGGAGGAAGGGCAGUAAGUUAAUACCUUGCUGUUUUGACGUUACCAACAGAAUAAGCACCGGCUAACUUCGUG
rnacentral:rRNA from 1 species